UACGUAGGGUGCGAGCGUUAAUCGGAAUUAUUGGGCGUAAAGCGUGCGCAGGCGGCUUUGCAAGACAGAUGUGAAAUCCCCGGGCUCAACCUGGGAACUGCAUUUGUGACUGCAAGGCUAGAGUACGGCAGAGGGGGAUGGAAUUCCGCGUGUAGCAGUGAAAUGCGUAGAUAUGCGGAGGAACACCAAUGGCGAAGGCAAUCCCCUGGGCCUGUACUGACGCUCAUGCACGAAAGCGUGGGGAGCAAACAGG
rnacentral:rRNA from 1 species